rnacentral:lncRNA from 1 species
UGAAACACUUUCUGGCUCACUCUUUUUCCUACAUCAUCUGUCCCAGUUUGUGGCACCAUGAUCCACAAUCAUCCACACUAGACACUUCGGUUGUAGGAGACUUCUCCGCUCUCACCUCUAUGCCAUGUCACUGGCCAAGCUCUGCCGAUUCUUGGGGAGGGUGUAAAAUGUUACUCCUAAAUAAUUCCUGAGACCGCCCCACCUCGACCUGCCUGUUGCCAGCACAUUUGCCCAGAUUCUCAAUCUUCUUGCCCUGGACAGGUGCCAUGGUUUCCACACCAGCCAUCUCAAACUCCAGCCUUGGCCAGAGUCACCUCCCUAACAGGCAUGUUGCCCUCUCCCUGACCUAAAGCCUCAUGGUGGCUGCCCAUCAACUGUGGAAUAAAGGCUCAACUUUAGCCUGAUGCACUAAGAACUCUGCCCAUUGGGUCCACGCUUGCUUGACCAAAUUUCCCUGCUCUUCUAACUUAAAACUUCAGGCUUCAGCAACAGAGAGCUCUGCUGGGUUUUGCCACUCAUAUGCGAUUUCUCCUUUUUGUGCUUCUCUCCAGAAUGCCACCUUCUCUCUCCUCCUUCCAGCUGAUUCUCAGCUCAGCAAUCACGCUUUCUGGAAACCUUUCUCCUUUCCUCCCCCAGCAUCUACCACACUUGCUGGACUGGGGGGCCCUUUCUGGGAGUUCAUUGCCAUCAGAUUUGUGUGUCAAAGAAACAGCCACAUUGGAAAGGAGUUUUACACCCCUUCCCAAGCUAGACUGGGCGGGGACUGGGGGACUGUGAGAUGGCUGCCAGGCCCAGAUGGAGGCUCUCACGCAGUGGAGGCCCUAGGAAGGAGAGG